rnacentral:rRNA from 1 species
AUGAAAAUGCUUAUAUCCAACUAUAGAAAGAUGGGAAAACAAAUAGAAUAUAAAAGAAAUACUAAUGAAAGGGUAAAGCUCUCCACUUCCCCUCCUAUUGUCUCUCGUGAUGAAACAUGUUACGAGAAUGAGCUUCCUAUGCAACCAAUCUCAUCAAUAAGGAGCUCCAAAAACUUGAUUAAACCCACACAUGAUGUGGAGAAGAAAAAGAGAAGACGUAGAAGCAAAGGUAAAAAGGUAUCCCUCCCAAAUGAAGUUGCUCCCAUUAUUGUUAUGCCUCAUGAGAAUGAAUCAAAAAUAAAUGUGGAAGAUGAUAUACUUCAUGAUGAUAUUGGUUCUUUGACUGAUGGUACAAUGUCCGAAGAAACUAUUUAG